GGCAGCAGCCGCGGUAACACCGGCGGCCCGAGUGGUGAUCGUGAUUAUUGGGUCUAAAGGGUCCGUAGCCGGUUUGGUCAGUCCUCCGGGAAAUCUGAUAGCUCAACUAUUAGGCUUUCGGGGGAUACUGCCAGACUUGGAACCGGGAGAGGUAAGAGGUACUACAGGGGUAGGAGUGAAAUCUUGUAAUCCCUGUGGGACCACCUGUGGCGAAGGCGUCUUACCAGAACGGGUUCGACGGUGAGGGACGAAAGCUGGGGGCACGAACCGGAUUAGAUACCCGGGUAGUCCCAGCCGUAAACGAUGCUCGCUAGGUGUCAGGCAUGGCGCGACCGUGUCUGGUGCCGCAGGGAAGCCGUGAAGCGAGCCACCUGGGAAGUACGGCCGCAAGGCUGAAACUUAAAGGAAUUGGCGGGGGAGCACAACAACGGGUGGAAGCCUGCGGUUUAAUUGGACUCAACGCCGGACAACUCACCGGGGGCGACAGCAAUAUGUAGGCCAAGCUGAAGACUUUGCCUGAAUCGCUGAGAAGUGGUGCAUGG
rnacentral:rRNA from 1 species